rnacentral:rRNA from 1 species
UACGAAGGGGGCUAGCGUUGCUCGGAAUUACUGGGCGUAAAGGGAGCGUAGGCGGACAGUUUAGUCAGAGGUGAAAGCCCAGGGCUCAACCUUGGAAUUGCCUUUGAUACUGACCGUCUUGAGUAUGGGAGAGGUUAGCGGAACUCCGAGUGUAGAGGUGAAAUUCGUAGAUAUUCGGAAGAACACCAGUGGCGAAGGCGGCUAACUGGCCCAUUACUGACGCUGAGGCUCGAAAGCGUGGGGAGCAAACAGG